AUGAGCCUUAUAGAAAUUGUUAGCUCUUUUGGAAGGACUCUUGGCUCUGUGUAAUAAUCUGUUUCUCAUUUCUCCUUAGCAAAGACGUUGCUGAAAGAAUACAGAAGGUACUGGAGAGUCCAGGACCCUUCUUUGAUCUCAAGUCAGAUGGUUCCUCCAGUCCCAGUUCCCCAGAAUUCCCUAACAGGAAGUGCAACAGAAUCUCCUCCAGCCAGACAUCCGGGUAUUGUGUGAUGCAGCCCCUGUCCCACUCCUCAUCCAAUGUGAGCAGCUGUUGCAGAAGAAGUUGAUGUGUUCCCUUGAAGGUCCCCAGAAGCAGGACACGCUGGCUCAGAGUGCGUGGUUGGACGAUAAUGUCUGUACACCCAGCAGUACCAGCUCACCAGUAACUCGGCUGCUCCCUUCCGGCAGCGGUGCAGGCUCUAUGGAGAAGGGGAAAGGUGGCAAAGUGGAUGCUCACCGUUACAGCCCAGCCUCCAUUUUGUGCUGUGUGUGAUAUCAUCGCUGGAGGGGUGUCUCAGUGCAUGCUGGGUAAUGCACAGGUAAUCCACACCCUAGGGGGCCUUGGUGCCCUAGGGUAAGGGAAUAAGGGCAUGUGGGGGAAAGAUGACGGAAGGGAAAGGGACUCUGCCGUUCCUACACAACCAGGUAGAAAAAUGUGGGUUGGAAUCCAAAGUAAAACAUCUUUGGGUCUGUGUUCUCCUUUGCCCCACAGCACUUCCCAAUCCCUUUUCCUUGGCCCUCUUGCCACACUGUGUGGGCCAUCUCUCGAGAAGAUGAAUAUGCUCUGUUCCCUACCCAACACCAU